rnacentral:lncRNA from 1 species
CUUUCUUUCAAUCAAAUUAUCUCAAAGACCGUCUCUAUAAUGAGAUCAUUGCAACCUUUAUAUGGGCAAAAUCAUAACAAUGUUACAUCUUGAUCCUUCAAUUAAAAAUAAAUCCUAGCUAUUAGUUUAAACAUAAGAAAUAAACCCUAAAAGGCAUUAGACUCCUAAGAAGUUAAUUUUUAUUGCAUUAUUGUGAACAAUUCUCUGUGACAGUAGNNNNNNNNNNNNNNNNNNNNNNNNNNNNNNNNNNNNNNNNNNNNNNNNNNNNNNNNCAUGCUUUAUAUCAUGCAGCAAAAUAUCUUUCAAUUCAUAAAACCCUGUCUUAGUGGUUAGUUCAGUCUUCUUGCUUAAUCUAUUAUGGGGUCACCCAACUGUUGGAAUUGAUGAAAAUAUAUUCAUAACAAUGAAGUGCAAUAACUUGGCAUGAAAUAUGCAUGUGGAGGUUCUUUCAUUUCUGAUGCCACCAGAGGUGUGUAGGGUUACUUGUUGUUGGUGAAUGAGACAAGAUCAAACGCAAGCUUGCUGUCAUUCUGAUUGGCCAGAUUACUUUCUGGAUAACAGUGUCAGUUGUCUUCUCUUCAAGGCACUGAGGUGUAACAUCUUAUGGAACAUGGUUAAGUCAAAAAAAUUCUGACUUCAAGUGAAGGUAUUCUUCAUUUUCACUCUUUAACUGUGGUAAACAGUUGAGAUUGAAGCAAUGAUAAUGAGGGAAAAGGGUUCAACAAACAAAAAUUGACAUAAGAGAGGGAUGGGGUGUGUGUGAAGGUGUUAAGAAAAAGAAUUGGAAAAGAAUAAGAAAAAUGUAAAAGGGGCCGGCACCCAUGUUAUAUUUGAACUUUUAAAAAUAUAAGCCCAAAAUCAUCUACUGAACAACUAGAAUAUAAGAUUCCUUUUUUGGUCUAAACUUUGCACUUAUCCUACUCUAAUUAGGACUCCUCAAAUUGCAAUUAGAACAGAGAAAUGAUAGAAACUAAAGCCCUGCAAUAUAUAGCUUGCUUGAACUUCUUUUUUGAAUCCUUUAGGGCACCUAAAAUAGGAAACAAUUUAAGUGAGUAAUGUUUAAGCAAAUAGCACUAGCCACUAGCUGCUAACAAUUGCUUCCUUGUCUGAGUUCAGUUAUAAUUCUUAAAAAAGGAAGCAACCAGAGGCCUUUCAGGCACCAAAAUCAGCAGAUAUUGUUGCCAGAUUACCAAAAAUAUCCGAUUGCACAUCUAAAAUAAAAUCUAACAGCAACUUUAAAAUAACCUAAGGUCCCCCAAAAAGCUAGUCAAGCCUUUAAGGCUGGUCUAGAAGAGACUGUCCAAAAGGGUUUCUUUGGCUACUCGUUCUGGUCCCUUAGCUGUGCCAAUUUUUAAUCAGAUGGUGACUUCUUGACUGACUCCAUGAUGUGUGAACUUUUUAGUUUGGCCCUUGACAAACUGUACCUCAGUUCCCUCAGUCAUUGAAAGCAGGAGAAGGCAGCAGGUUAUCCUACUUAGAAAUUUCUCAGGUCUUACCAUGUCACAAGUAUCUGAAAUCUCUAAUCUGAGUCCUUUUCUUAUUUACCAAGAGCAAUAAAACAAAUGUUCAUGUUCAUUUGUGUGAAAAGGGGUUCCGUGGGGUCAAAUUAAUAAUCACUAUGUAGAGAUCUAGCAAAUAGCUAGCUUGUUGUCACCAAAACCAGCAUUCACUGUCCCUAGAAAUCAAAUUAAGCAACUCAUGGUAUUUAGGAUCUGAAAGAAUUCAUUACCAUCCAUGGUAGCUAAAAUUUGCUUGGUUUUGUGUGGUUAAGAAGCUCCAGUUGUCCUAUUGAUGAUUUGUUUAUAAUCAAUUUGUCUAUGGAAUGUACGUUGAUCCCUAAAUGCUCCUUAUCUUCAUGAUAUUUUUUUUUCUAAAACAUUUCCUUGUCAAGUUAUUGAUGGAGGGUUGAAAGGUGACUGCUUUGAAUUGGGCCAACAUUUCCUUAUUCUCCUUUAUGGUUUUAAGUGCUUUAGCAUGCUGGUUUGCACUGGUUAGGUAUCGGCAUGGUACAGGAGUAUGUAACCUCUGUAUUUCUUGUACCUAUCUAUCCUAGUCAAUAUUGGUUAGUGUUUGCAUAUGCCGAUUACCUAUUAGCAUGGACCAAUACAGAUCACCACAGAAUUUUUUGUUAAGAGGCUUGGCGCAAUGAUGAGCACAUGACCAGCACAGAAUGGUGCCAUCCAAUAUCAUGUGCUGCAAAGUGCAAACCAUAUCUGGCACGGUUGCAGCAUGUGACAUUUUAAUCUUUUAAAUCUCAUCUAGCAAAUCUUCCAUGCGGUUUAUUCACUCCUCAUGACCCUUUGAUUGCCAUCAUGAUUAUCAAAGCAUGGAUACAUGGCUUCAUGGCAAGCUUCUAUUGUGUCAAUCUUUUUGAUCAUCAGUUGUUUAACAUGUGCUCCAAUUGAAUGACAUGGAUACUCUAAUACCAAACCAAUUUGAUCUCUAUACUCUAGAGCUCUUGGGCAUAGUUCAGCUAAUGAGGACAAUUCGUCCAACGUUUGGAAAGAUUUCUGGUGAUCAAAGAUUAGAAAAACAACAAAAAUAAAGAAACUUUGAUUAUUGAACUAUCUAUUAUAUUUCUUCACAAGAAAAAUAGAAUUGAUGAGAACUAACCAUAAAUAGUAGCAAAAACAAGACCACCAGUAACGACAUAGAGCAUCAUUAAUUUGUAAGGCAUCAAAGUUUUUGAAUCAGUCAUGGGCAAUUCAUGAGUAAAUCAUAAAAUCUAUGAUAAUGGCAAAUAAUUAAAUAUUCUUGUUACUUUAUUACCAAGGAUAAUCUGGAGGAUCAUUCUGCCAGUGUAAAAAUUCAAGAAUAAUUUGAGAAAUUUUCAGUAAUUUGGAGAAUAAUUUUAGGAUACUAGGGGUUAGGGAUUGAUGCAAAGGAUUAUGUGUUUGGAGAAAAUAAUUUUAGGAUUUCAUGUUUAGGAACAAUGCUUUUGUAGUUUUUUUUGGGUAGAAAACAAAUCACAUCAAAACACAAUGAUAAAAAUAAAGUAGAACAUAGAAAAGGAGAGAAGCAUUUAAAGGAUAGAGACAGAAAAAGAGAGGGAGGGAGAACAGCCAAACCUUGGCUUUCUUCUUUCUUUCAAUCAAAUUAUCUCAAAGACCGUCUCUAUAAUGAGAUCAUUGCAACCUUUAUAUGGGCAAAAUCAUAACAAUGUUACAUCUUGAUCCUUCAAUUAAAAAUAAAUCCUAGCUAUUAGUUUAAACAUAAGAAAUAAACCCUAAAAGGCAUUAGACUCCUAAGAAGUUAAUUUUUAUUGCAUUAUUGUGAACAAUUCUCUGUGACAGUAGUUUGGAUAGUACAGCAAACAGUAUCCACUGAAGUUUUUGUUCUUUGCUUUUUAUCUUUUUCCUUGGAAGAAAUCUGGGAUUGGCAAGAAAGAGGAGUUGGCUGUGAAUUUUCUUUCCUUGUUCUUUUCCUUGCAUCAUCCACUAGGGUAGGAGACGGGAGGGUGGGUCUUUUUUCCCCUCUCUCUCUAUCUCUCCUCCUCCCCACCUCUUCUCUCCUUCUCUCUCCCCCUCUCUCCUUCUCCCUCCCCUCUCCCUUCUUCUCCCAUUUCUUGAUGGCUAAGGGAAGAGGCAUGCUCAGUUUUCCCUUUUU